rnacentral:rRNA from 1 species
GACGAACGCUGGCGGCGUGCUCAACACAUGCAAGUCGAACGGAAAGGCCCUGCUUUUGUGGGGUGCUCGAGUGGCGAACGGGUGAGUAACACGUGAGUAACCUGCCCUUGACUUUGGGAUAACUUCAGGAAACUGGGCUAAUACCGGAUAGGAGCUCCUGCUGCAUGGUGGGGGUUGGAAAGUUUCGGCGGUUGGGGAUGGACUCGCGGCUUAUCAGCUUGUUGGUGGGGUAGUGGCUUACCAAGGCUUUGACGGGUAGCCGGCCUGAGAGGGUGACCGGCCACAUUGGGACUGAGAUACGGCCCAGACUCCUACGGGAGGCAGCAGUGGGGAAUAUUGCACAAUGGGCGGAAGCCUGAUGCAGCAACGCCGCGUGCGGGAUGACGGCCUUCGGGUUGUAAACCGCUUUCGCCUGUGACGAAGCGUGAGUGACGGUAAUGGGUAAAGAAGCACCGGCUAACUACGUG